rnacentral:rRNA from 1 species
GUCCUGUAGAUUUUAAUUUUAGGUCUAUCCUGCUCAAUGAUUAUUUUAAUUAAAUAGCCGCAGUAUUCUAACUGUGCAAAGGUAGCAUAAUCAUUUGUCUCUUAAUUGGAGGCUUGUAUGAAUGGUUGGACGAGAUAUAAACUUUCUUUAUUUGACUUUAUUGAAUUUUAUUUUUAAGUAAAAAAGCUUAAAUUUUGUUGCAAGACGAGAAGACCCUAUAGAAUUUUAUUUAUUUGAUAGUUUUAUUAAUGAAUUUUAUAUUUUUAUUAUUAUUAAGUAAAUUUUGUUGGGGUGACAGUGAAAUUUAAUUAACUUUCAUUAUCUAUUUUUCAUUAAUUUAUGUAUUAUUGAUCCUUUUUUAUGGAUUAUAAGAUUAAAUUACCUUAGGGAUAACAGCGUAAUUCUUUCUGAGAGUUCAUAUCGAUGAAUGGAGUUUGCGACCUCGAUGUUGGAUUAAAGUUAGAUUUAGGUGCAGAAGCUUAAAUUCUAGGUCUGUUCGACCUUUAAACCUUUACA